rnacentral:rRNA from 1 species
UGAGGAAUAUUGGUCAAUGGACGCAAGUCUGAACCAGCCAUGUCGCGUGCAGGAUGACUGCCCUAUGGGUUGUAAACUGCUUUUGUAUGGGAAGAAAGUGAGAUACGUGUAUCUCUUUGCCGGUACCAUACGAAUAAGGAUCGGCUAACUCCGUGCCAGCAGCCGCGGUAAUACGGAGGAUCCGAGCGUUAUCCGGAUUUAUUGGGUUUAAAGGGUGCGUAGGCGGUUUAUUAAGUCAGUGGUGAAAUCUUGCAGCUUAACUGUAAAAUUGCCAUUGAUACUGAUAGACUUGAGUAUAGUUGAGGUAGGCGGAAUGUGUUGUGUAGCGGUGAAAUGCAUAGAUAUAACACAGAACACCGAUUGCGAAGGCAGCUUACUAAGCUAUAACUGACGCUGAGGC